UGAACCAGUGAUUUAUUAUGUACUAUCUUAGACAUUAGGAAAUGCUGCUAUAAAUACUGUCUUGUUCAUACCCUAGAGCUAAUCAUUGCCCGCUGAAGAAGACAGUUACAUGGACAUCCCAACAUAAAGAGAUAACAGAGUUCUGGGAAAUUUCAAGAAUUGAAGUUACAAACUUUAUCCAGAACUGGAAGGAAAAAUACUAAUUUCUCUGACAAACUUUGAGGAUAGAGGACCUAAAAUCUGUGGACAGCCGUGCUUCCAGUGGGAGAGAGAACUGACAGCGAUGGAAGUGGACUGGGUUGGAACCUGCAGUCAGAACAGCUCUGGGUUCUUGGGUUUUGUUCCUAUGAAAGCUGUGUCCCAGCUUUUUUUUUUUUUUUUUUUUUUUUUUUUAAUUUAAGAGGAAAAAGAGAAAAACACAAAACAAACCAAAGCGGUGUAAGGGUACACGUAAUACAGAACUACAAAAAAACAAAACAAAACAAAAAAAAAAACAAAACAAACAAACAAAAAAACAUAACAGUAAGAAAUCACCUGUUAGUAUAUUACAUAUUAUCAUCUUGAAAAUAGUUCCUCAAAUCACAGUAUCAAAGAAUACAAGGUGGACAUUCAAACAGGUAGACUGCAAACAGCUGUGUUCAAUGAUCCAAAAACAUUGAUACAGUCAGCUAUUUAACACCCCUAAACACCCUUGCUGUUAUAUCCGUUAGAGCUCUUUUUCUUUUUGUUUUUUUUUCCCUCUCUUUUUUACAACAAAAUUCACACACUUUGGAUUUCAUUACUCCUUAGUGUGUGUCCCAGCUUUUAAAGCCUUUGAAUGGAACACAUUUUUCAAGACAUCAUAUUCACCAUUUAAAAACGUGCUUCAAGUUCUGUCCUUUGCCAGCAAAGCAUUUUGACUAGUAAAAUGCUGUAUUUCCUAAAAUAAAUAGAUGUGGAGUACAUGGUUACGUGGCUAGUAAUGAGAUAAAAUAACUAUAGUAAAAUGAAACAAGCAAUAAUAAAUUUAAAUUGUAGAUGUAGAAAAGAUUGAGUGGAAAAACAUAACAAGUUCAAGGUCACCCUUAACUACAUAGAGAGACCAUGUGGCAAAAGCAUAAUAAUUAUUUAAAUAAUAGUAAAUUUUAGGAAUGAAAACUUUUAUGAUUUUGAAAGUGAAAUGUUUAUAUAAUAAGUGUAAAUUCAUUUCAAAUUGACUAUGGCUGGUACUAAAUUUCAGAUCUUUUUAUUCAGUCAUUAACUUCUGUACAUUCAUUUACUUCCUCCCAUAUGAGUUACUAUUUAUGUGCCAUAUAUUUUGUCCUUUUUGGUAGCCAGAUUGCAAAAAUAAAGAUGACACAAUCAUUGUCCUCUUAGAAUUCACAUUCAGCCAUGGAAACAAAGUUACAGUAGAGUCUGUUACUUCUUUAGGAAAAUCAAACUAUGGUGGCAAUGAGGAAGGACUGAUUAUUUUGCAAAUCAAAAUAAUAUCCACGCAUUCUUUCAGUGACACACAAAAUUAAAACUCACAAAUGCAAAGAAGACUAAUAAAGUUGUGUAUAUGAAAACUAUAAAUAAUAAAAUAAAAAAGAAAACAUUUCAGAAAGUGUUUGCCACACACAUGGCCUGUAUACAUAUUAUACAAACGUUCUCAAACAUGAGAAACUGACAAUUAGAUGGGUCUGUUUCUAGGUAAGCUUGUUCAAAGAAAAAGACUUGUAAGCAAUUAACAUGAAGAAAAUAAAUACAUAAUAGAAAAUCACAAAGUAACACAAAAAUAAAUAAUCUUAAAAUAUUAGAUUGUAAAACUUUAAGACUGAUAACUUUGAUUCUCUUUUGGAGAACAUAUAAAUUUUACAUAUGUUUGAGACACUGGUUCAAACUUUUGGAUACUGAUAUUAAAAGAUGUAGCUCAGCAAAUAAUUUAUAUUUAACUCAACUUAUACUUAAAUGAAAAUUGAUGCUUAUAAUACCACACGAAAUAACAUGACUAAUGUCACAUAGGAACCAACUAAAAUAUCUUCCAAUAGAGAACUAAUUAAUGCUAUGGUAAAGAAAAUAGCAUAUACAUUUAUAGGUAUAUAUUAGGAGUAUUUGCAAAGCCAAAGAGUAACAAAUAAAAUAUUGUCAGCAGCUGUCUCUGUGAAGCUAUUAGGGACACAAAGAAAACAUUCUUAAUUUUUACUUUGCAUAUUUAGUUAAUUUUUUUCAAAAAAUUGUUUGAUUAUAUAUUGAAAAUACUUUCAAAUGAGAAAUAUUUUGAAUAAAAAUUUCUGUCAGAA